GAAUAUUGCGCAAUGGGGGAAACCCUGAUCCAGCCAUGCCGCGUGAGUGAUGAAGGCCCUAGGGUUGUAAAGCUCUUUUGUGCGGGAAGAUAAUGACGGUACCGCAAGAAUAAGCCCCGGCUAACUUCGUGCCAGCAGCCGCGGUAAUACGAAGGGGGCUAGCGUUGCUCGGGAUCACUGGGCGUAAAGGGUGCGUAGGCGGAUCUUUAAGUCAGGGGUGAAAUCCCGGGGCUCAACCCCGGAACUGCCCUUGAUACUGGAGAUCUUGAGUUCGGGAGAGGUGAGUGGAACUGCGAGUGUAGAGGUGAAAUUCGUAGAUAUUCGCAAGAACACCAGUGGCGAAGGCGGCUCACUGGCCCGAUACUGACGCUGAGGCACGAAAGCGUGGGGAGCAAACAG
rnacentral:rRNA from 1 species